AAAAAAAAAAUCCUGCACAUCAGAUUUAUGUAUUUUCAUAAACAUCUCUGUGAAAUAGGACAGGUACCUAAAGCCUGGGGGAUUAGCUGUUCUUUGUCCUCCUCUGGUAAAUGACUAAGACUUAGUCUAGGCGCAGAAUGUUUGCCCAAAAAAAAAGAAACAUACUGCAUGAUUCCAUUUAUACAGUAUUCCUGAAAUGGCGAAGAUGGAGAACAGAUUAGUGAUUGUCAGGAGUUAGGGAAGGAGAGUGGUGGUUAGGGCUAAAAGGGUAACACAAAGGAGUCUUGUGUUGAUAAAGCUGUGCUGUAUCUUGACUGUGAUGUGAUCACAUGAAUCUAUACAUGUGAUAAAACUGCACAGGACCACACACACAUACAUAUACACACUCACAUGGGUACAUGUGAAACCAGUGAAAUCUAAAUAAGCACUGUGAAUAGUGGUUGUAUUGUUGUACUACAGUCAUGCAAGAUGCUACUCCUGGGGAAAAAUGAGUGAAAAGUGUGUAGGAUAUCUCUAUUAUUUCUUACAACCGCAUGUGAAUCUAUGAUUAUCUCAAAAUUAAAAAUAAUAAUAAUAAUAAUAAUCCAGUUUAAAGACCCAAAUAGAUAGAUGAUGAAAAACAGAUAAAAGUUUUUACAAUGGCAGAUCUGAGUACACAAAAGGAUAUUUUCAGAUACGUGACAAUUGUUUUUAUAUGUUUGUUGUUAUGUGAUUAUGGCAUACAUUUUACUGAGCCUGACCCUCAGAAUUCUAGCAGUGAUGACCAGUAUAGGUAUCUGUGACUGCAAAGCAGAAACUGACACAAAGUGUAUAUCAAUGGAGGCUGUAAGGUGAGACUCUGUUGAGAUCAAAUCCCAAAUUCUAAGACCUCAUAACUACAAAAAAGAAUAAUGGUAAUGCUGGACUGAAUAAUUACAAACAAAAUCUUAACCUUUUUAAUUAGAAAGUCAAAGUGCUUUAUAGUACAUUAAAAACUGACGAUAAAAUAUUCCAUCUUAAGAGUACUGGUCAAAUGGUAACACAUUUAUGGAAUAUUUAAAAUGUUUACAUACCAUCAUAAUUGGUUUUGUUUCCAUGGGGACACUGGAAACACUCAGGUCAUAAAAGCACACUGAAUACCUUGGCAGAAACUGUUGGUUAGCCAUCAAAAUUUCAUCUUCCCCUCUUCCAUGUAAAGACCAGCCAGGGAAGACUACAUUUCCCAGCCUCCACUCCAGCCAGCUCAAGAUCCUAGGCUCUGAACACAUCCACAUCUUCUAGGAUGGUAGAAAAGGAAAUAAAAUACAGGGGAAAAAAUGGUAGAGCUGAAAAAGAAGUCAAACCCACCCAAAUCCCACCACCAACAAUAAUAAUAGCUACUGUUUUACUGAG